UAGGUGGGAGGCUUUGAAGUGUGGACGCCAGUCUGCAUGGAGCCGACCUUGAAAUACCACCCUUUAAUGUUUGAUGUUCUAACGUUGACCCGUAAUCCGGGUUGCGGACAGUGUCUGGUGGGUAGUUUGACUGGGGCGGUCUCCUCCUAAAGAGUAACGGAGGAGCACGAAGGUUGGCUAAUCCUGGUCGGACAUCAGGAGGUUAGUGCAAUGGCAUAAGCCAGCUUGACUGCGAGCGUGACGGCGCGAGCAGGUGCGAAAGCAGGUCAUAGUGAUCCGGUGGUUCUGAAUGGAAGGGCCAUCGCUCAACGGAUAAAAGGUACUCCGGGGAUAACAGGCUGAUACCGCCCAAGAGUUCAUAUCGACGGCGGUGUUUGGCACCUCGAUGUCGGCUCAUCACAUCCUGGGGCUGAAGUAGGUCCCAAGGGUAUGGCUGUUCGCCAUUUAAAGUGGUACGCGAGCUGGGUUUAGAACGUCGUGAGACAGUUCGGUCCCUAUCUGCCGUGGGCGCUGGAGAACUGAGGGGGGCUGCUCCUAGUACGAGAGGACCGGAGUGGACGCAUCACUGGUGUUCGGGUUGUCAUGCCAAUGGCACUGCCCGGUAGCUAAAUGCGGAAGAGAUAAGUGCUGAAAGCAUCUAAGCACGAAACUUGCCCCGAGAUGAGUUCUCCCUGACUCCUUGAGAGUCCUGAAGGAACGUUGAAGACGACGACGUUGAUAGGCCGGGUGUGUAAGCGCAGCGAUGCGUUGAGCUAACCGGUACUAAUGAACCGUGAGGCUUAACCUU
rnacentral:rRNA from 2 species